AGUGAACGCUGGCGGUAGGCCUAACACAUGCAAGUCGAACGGCAGCACAGUAAGAGCUUGCUCUUACGGGUGGCGAGUGGCGGACGGGUGAGGAAUACAUCGGAAUCUACUUUUUCGUGGGGGAUAACGUAGGGAAACUUACGCUAAUACCGCAUACGACCUACGGGUGAAAGCAGGGGAUCUUCGGACCUUGCGCGAUUGAAUGAGCCGAUGUCGGAUUAGCUAGUUGGCGGGGUAAAGGCCCACCAAGGCGACGAUCCGUAGCUGGUCUGAGAGGAUGAUCAGCCACACUGGAACUGAGACACGGUACAGACUCCGACGGGAGGAAGCAGUGGGGAAUAUUGGACAAUGGGCGCAAGCCUGAUCCAGCCAUACCGCGUGGGGGAAGAAGGCGUUCGGGUUGUAAAGCCAUUUUGUUGGGAAAGAAAAGCAGCAGGUUAAUACCCCGCUGUUCUGACGGUACCCAAAGAAUAAGCACCGGCUAACUUCGUG
rnacentral:rRNA from 1 species